rnacentral:rRNA from 1 species
GAUGAACGCUGGCGGCGUGCCUAAUACAUGCAAGUCGAGCGAACAGACGAGGAGCUUGCUCCUCUGACGUUAGCGGCGGACGGGUGAGUAACACGUGGAUAACCUACCUAUAAGACUGGGAUAACUUCGGGAAACCGGAGCUAAUACCGGAUAAUAUAUUGAACCGCAUGGUUCAAUAGUGAAAGACGGUUUUGCUGUCACUUAUAGAUGGAUCCGCGCCGCAUUAGCUAGUUGGUAAGGUAACGGCUUACCAAGGCAACGAUGCGUAGCCGACCUGAGAGGGUGACGCCCAACAUGGGACGAGAGACCGGGCCCGCAACCUGGGGGGGGGAGACGGAAGGGAAUCUUCCGGGAGGGAGAAAGGCCGAAGAGGGCAAAGCGGGGGAAAGAAUGAGGGUGUAAGGACGUAAAAAUUCUGUAAUAAGGAAAGAAAAAAAGUGAAUUUAACCGUGACGUUCUUGACGGUACCUAAAAAAAAAGCCACGGCUAACUCCGUG